rnacentral:rRNA from 1 species
GACGAACGCUGGCGGUGUGCUUAACACAUGCAAGUCGAACGGAAAGGCCUCUUUCGGGGGGUACUCGAGUGGCGAACGGGUGAGUAGCACGUGAGUAACCUGCCCUUGACUUUGGGAUAACUUCAGGAAACUGGGGCUAAUACCGGAUAGGAGCUCCUGCUGCAUGGUGGGGGUUGGAAAGUUUCGGCGGUUGGGGAUGGACUCGCGGCUUAUCAGCUUGUUGGUGGGGUAGUGGCUUACCAAGGCUUUGACGGGUAGCCGGCCUGAGAGGGUGACCGGCCACAUUGGGACUGAGAUACGGCCCAGACUCCUACGGGAGGCAGCAGUGGGGAAUAUUGCACAAUGGGUGGAAGCCUGAUGCAGCAACGCCGUGGGCGGGAUGACGGCCUUCGGGUUGUAAACCGCUUUCGCUCAUGACGAAGCUUUGUGUGACGGUAGUGGGUAAAGAAGCACCGGCUAACUACGUG